GCAGUGAGGAAUAUUGGUCAAUGGGCGCAAGCCUGAACCAGCCAUGCCGCGUGUAGGAUGACGCAUCUAUGGUGUGUAAACUACUUUUGUACAGGAAGAAACAGUGCUACGUGUAGCACCUUGACGGUACUGUAAGAAUAAGGAUCGGCUAACUCCGUGCCAGCAGCCGCGGUAAUACGGAGGAUCCAAGCGUUAUCCGGAAUCAUUGGGUUUAAAGGGUCCGUAGGCGGUUUUAUAAGUCAGUGGUGAAAUCCGGCAGCUCAACUGUCGAACUGCCAUUGAUACUGUAGGACUUGAAUUAUUGUGAAGUAACUAGAAUAUGUAGUGUAGCGGUGAAAUGCUUAGAUAUUACAUGGAAUACCCAUUGCGAAGGCAGGUUACUAACAAUAUAUUGACGCUGAUGGACGAAAGCGUGGGGAGCGAACAGGAUUAGA
rnacentral:rRNA from 1 species